rnacentral:lncRNA from 13 species
CAACACUAUAAUAUACAACACUAUAAUAUACAACACUAUAAUAUACAACACUACAAUAGUCAACUCUACAUUAGACAACUCUACAUUAGUCAACACUGCAUUAGACAACACUAUAUUAUACAACACUACAUUAGACCACACUAUAAUAUACAACACUACAUUAGUCAACACUACAUUAGUCAACACUGCAUUAGACAACACUAUAUUAUACAACACUACAUUAGACCACACUAUAAUAUACAACACUACAUUAGUCAACACUACAUUAGACAACACCACAUUAGUCAACACUACAUUAGUCAACACUAUAAUAUACAACACUACAAUAGUCAACUCUACAUUAGACAACACUAUAAUAUACAACACUAUAAUAUACAACUCUACAUUAGUCAACACUAUAAUAUACAACACUACAUUAGACCACACUAUAAUAUACAACACUACAUUAAACAACACUACAUUAGUCAACUCUACAUUAGUCAACUCUACAUUAGUCAACACUACAUUAGUCAACACUAUAAUAUACAACACUACAUUAGUCAACACUACAUUAAACAACACUACAUUAGCCAACACUACAUUAGUCAACACUACAUUAGACAACACUACAUUAGUCAACACUACAUUAGUCAACACUAUAAUAUACAACACUACAUUAGUCAACACUACAUUAGUCAACACUAUAAUAUACAACACUACAUUAGACAACACUACAUGAAACAACACUAUAAUAUACAACUCUACAUUAGACAACAUUACAAAACACACUACUGACAGACCACACUGAAACAAUUCCUCUAUCGAUUCAGUGACACUAGGUCUACGUCCCCAGACGGUAACCCUUCUCCCGGACAGUGCAUCAGUUCUGGUCCCGUGAACUGCCCUGCGGUGCCAUUUAAAGACACAACCUAUGUGAUCUAAAACCAAAGAGAAACAUGUCUUACCCCUCCGCUGUUAAACUUAAUGCUCUCAAAGACUACUCCAAGGAGAGGAGGUAACAUCGAGAUCCUACUACCACAAAGGGAGGCUUGAUAUCCUGAUAUCCUUCUCUAAAACAUUGACCCCCUAAUGGUCUGAGUAUAGACUUUGAUAUCAGGCGUUUCUUAUGAACAAUUUUCUCUUUUCUAAAUGGAUGUGUUGUUUCUACAGCGUAUCAGAGUGCACCGAAUAUGUUCCCCUUGUUGAUGAUGCUUAUUACGCAUUAUGGGUGAACCAAAAGAUGACAUAGAAUAAAACAAAUAGAAGGAAAUAGGAAGCAAUAUUUAUGUAACAUUGAAUCAAACAAUAAUGUCUGUUGAUGCCUAAUAUAUUCAAUACGCUAUAAACUAUAGUUGUUUUUUAAACAGUUUCACUCAAUUCAUUCUCAUUAACUUAAUUUUUACGACACACCGCUGACUAUUGUCAUUGGUUGCACUAAUUGCACUGUUUUGUCUACGUAACCUUGUUCAAGCAUUCAUGACAUUACCCUGAAGAAGGGACAAUGAGGCCGAAACGUUGGUGAAUUACCCAAUAAAUGACAUGGAGUUUAUAUAUAGUGUGUGACUAUUUAAAAAAAAAUGUUUAUAGCUUAUAGUUUAUUCACCGUUAGUCAGCACCUCGACAUGAAAUAAUGUUUUUUUUUCUGGGUGUGCCAGCUCAUGUGUUUAGUUCCUGUUUUAAUCAAAACGAAUCUAAUUGAAAUAAUGUGAAAUCUAAUAUUGUACGUUUUACAAGGCUGUGCAGCACUUUCAAAAAUACACUUUACAAAUAAAUGGUAUUAUGUUAUUAUAAACUACAUGACAAAAAAAGCAAUGUCUUACUGCCUGUUGUAAACUACACGUCACCAUGGUUCCCAGUGUCAGUAGUAGAAUCAGCAUGGUGGGUCCCGUUGACUGCAGCAUGUCGUCCAGUAUCACUUUCUCCACAAUUAGUCCUCAGUCUCACAUCCAAAACAAUGGGUCAAUGCAGAGUCCGUGGUGUGGCAGUGGGUAGGUAACACUGCCCGGUUCUGUCCGCAUAUGUGCCUCUCUAGGCCGGGGUUCUGUGUCUUUCUCCUCUUCACCCUUGACAACUGUCUCCAUAAAGUGCCAAAACCUUGUAAGAAGUAGUGGAAUUCAACUGUUCAUUUUUUCUAAAAAAAAGUGUCAGGCACCUCCUUCGCCUCCUCCCUUAGAGCUCAGCCCUCAGAGCCCUUAUCUCGGAUCCCCUGAGAUGUUAGAGAGCAGAAACUCCCCAAAUACCUUCCUAAAUUCUGUAUUCUACUUCCUGAUGGACUGCCUGCCUGCUGUGCCAGUGUGAGUUACAGAUGCAGACUACUUCAGUCAAGUUCAAUGUGCUGAUUGCUGGAGAGGCAGAAUGAGGUAGCUAGUUAAACUAGAACCAACCACCCACCAGCUUUAGAGUUUUAGCAGGGAGACGAAGAAGAAGAUAUGAGUAGAUUAGCAUAUUGUCCAAUGGACACGGAUGUUCAACAGAAAUGUAUGUCUUCCGCUUUAUUCCAAACCCCACCGAAAAGAGAAGAGGAUUCGCUAGAGGAGCUUCAGUAGAGAGGAGUUUCAGUAGUUUCAGUAAAGAGGAGUUUCAGUAGUUUCAGUAGAGAGAGGAGUUUCAGUAGUUUCAGUAGAGAGGAGUUUCAGUAGUUUCAGUAGAGAGAGGAGUUUAAGUAGU